rnacentral:rRNA from 1 species
UACGUAGGCAGCAAGCGUUGUUCGGAAUUACUGGGCGUAAAGAGUGUGUAGGCGGUGCCGCAAGUCUGUCGUGAAAUCUCCCGGCUUAACUGGGAGGGUGCGGCGGAUACUGCGGUGCUAGAGGGUGGGAGAGGUAAGCGGAAUUCCUGGUGUAGCGGUGAAAUGCGUAGAUAUCAGGAGGAACACCUGUGGUGUAGACAGCUUACUGGACCACUUCUGACGCUGAGACACGAAAGCGUGGGUAGCAAACAGG